rnacentral:rRNA from 1 species
AUUGAACGCUGGCGGCAGGCCUAACACAUGCAAGUCGAGCGGAUGAAGGGAGCUUGCUCCUGGAUUCAGCGGCGGACGGGUGAGUAAUGCCUAGGAAUCUGCCUGGUAGUGGGGGAUAACGUCCGGAAGCGGGCGCUAAUACCGCAUACGUCCUGAGGGAGAAAGUGGGGGAUCUUCGGACCUCACGCUAUCAGAUGAGCCUAGGUCGGAUUAGCUAGUUGGUGGGGUAAAGGCCUACCAAGGCGACGAUCCGUAACUGGUCUGAGAGGAUGAUCAGUCACACUGGAACUGAGACACGGUCCAGACUCCUACGGGAGGCAGCAGUGGGGAAUAUUGGACAAUGGGCGAAAGCCUGAUCCAGCCAUGCCGCGUGUGUGAAGAAGGUCUUCGGAUUGUAAAGCACUUUAAGUUGGGAGGAAGGGCAGUAAGUUAAUACCUUGCUGUUUUGACGUUACCAACAGAAUAAGCACCGGCUAACUUCGUG